AAAGUUUUAAAAGCUAUUUUCUGUCCUACUCUCAAACAGUAUAUUUUAAAGAAUAAGAACAACUCUUUAUCUUUCAACACUUGGCAAAUACUGAGCUUCAUCUUUUGUCCUCUGAUUUCCUACUGGUCUCAAGGAAGUGUGCCAGAUAGAAAGUACUUCAUGUUGUUUUCAUAAAAUACUUGGCAGAUACAAUAUAAAAUGAUGGGUUUCAUUCAAGACAUGGGUACUGUCAUGAGCUUUUCCAUGCACUCAAGUCCUGAGGCAAAACCCACUGAAGAAUUUCUGACAUCAAUGGGCUUUGGAUCUAAUCCAUAGACAGCUAGUUUCUUUUGGAAAACGUUGAGUGAAAUGUAAGUGAAAAGUUUUAUACAAGUAUUACUGUAGCAACCAAAGUAUAUUUAUAGCACUGGUGUUGUGAAGAUGAAAGAAUCGAAGGGAAAAUGCAUAUCGGAGGAAACAAGUGAAGUCAUCUUUACCCUACCCUGUAGUCUCUCAAAUUCAGCAUGAACGGUAAUUUGUGUUUCUAAGCAUUAAAAGAUGUCUUUUCAGUAUGCUGUAAAGGAACAAAUGCAUGCCUGUCUUUUGACUACCAGACCUUCACUGAAUUAAUCAUGGCAUGUAGCCUUCUCAGUCACAUUAAAUAUUUUGUCUGUUGUCCAUUUUGAAUAUGUAACUGGUGAAAUCUGCCAGUAAAGGUCAACACAAUUGUUAUAUCCCAAUUAAGAUUUAUUUUCUAGAUUUAAAAAUGUACCAGGCCCUUACAUAGGAGGAUGACUUCCAUUUUGUUUAAAA
rnacentral:lncRNA from 1 species